UAAAAUGAUGAUUGACUAAAUUAUAAUAACUUUCGUUCUACUGAGUAUUGAUCAAACGAUCGUGUAGAAAACAUUUUGAUCUGAUA
rnacentral:snoRNA from 1 species